CUUGAUGCUCUUUACAAGAAGGUAUAAAUUAUUUGGGAUCAUCAUAAAUUUUGUAUGCUUAGACUGUAAAAUUUUUUGCAAAAAGUGAUAUUGAUCAGUUCCCUCUAAGAAAUAUUUUAGCAAUUAGGCUUACCAAGGAAGUUGAAAUGAUUGAGAUUAAUAGUUUGCAUGGACUGGUAAUUGAUAAAUUGAUAGUUUUUUCACUUAGAAUCUAAAUAAAAUUUUUCAUAUUUGCAUUUUAAGUACAUGAUUAGACCACUAUACAUGUUGAUGCUAUGUUCACGUAUGUCAUUCUUUAGCAAUGUGCUUGGUGCUUUUCAGAGGAAGGUGCCAUCAUGCUUGAAGAACAGUGAAACAAUAUAAAAUGUGGGGUUCACUGGAUGUUUAAUAGAUUGUUUCUUGUUGAAUUCACUUAUUCAACCUUAGUGUCAUUUCUCCCUUUUGGUGUGAUCAGAUCAAG
rnacentral:misc_RNA from 1 species